rnacentral:rRNA from 1 species
GCUUAACACAUGCAAGUCGAACGGGAAUUUCGGGGCAACUCGAAUAGUACCGUGGCGCACGGGUGAGUAAUACGUAGGUAACCUACCUCUUACUGGGGAAUAACCCCGGGAAACCGGGGCUAAUUCCGCAUACGCUAGUUUCACUUCGGUGAGAUUAGGAAAGGCGACCUCUUCAUGAAAGUUGUCGGCAAGAGAUGGGCCUGCGCCCGAUUAGCUAGUUGGUAGGGUAAUGGCCUACCAAGGCGACGAUCGGUAGCUGGUCUGAGAGGACGACCAGCCACACUGGCACUGAAAUACGGGCCAGACUCCUACGGGAGGCAGCAGUGGGGAAUAUUGGACAAUGGGGGAAACCCUGAUCCAGCAACGCCGCGUGAGGGAUGAAGGCCUUCGGGUUGUAAACCUCUGUCAGGAGGGACGAAACCGAGGUGGGAGUAAUACCCCAUCUCAUUGACUUAACCUCCAGAGGAAGCACGGCUAACUCUGUGCCAGCAGCCGCGGUAAUACAGAGGGUGCCAGCGUUGUUCGGAAUUACUGGGCGUAAAGCGCGUGCAGGCGGAUAGAGUAGUCGGGUGUGAAAGCCCUUGGCUCAACCAAGGAAUUGCGCCCGAAACCCAUCUAUCUAGAGUCCGGUAGGGGAGCGGGGAAUUUCCCAGUGUAGAGGUGAAAUUCGUAGAUAUCGGGAGGAACACCGGUGGCGAAGGCGCCGCUCUGGGCCGUGACUGACGCUCAUACGCGAAAGCGUGGGUAGCAAACAGGAUUAGAUACCCUGGUAGUCCACGCCGUAAACUAUGGGUACUAGGUGUCGGGGGAAUUGACUCCUUCGGUGCCGCAAGCAAACGCAUUAAGUACCCCGCCUGGGAAGUACGGUCGCAAGAUUAAAACUCAAAGGAAUUGACGGGGACCCGCACAAGCGGUGGAGCAUGUGGUUCAAUUCGACGCAACGCGAAGAACCUUACCUGGGCUUGACAUCCCCGGAACCCGACAGAGAUGUUGGGGUGCCCGCAAGGGAGCCGGGAGACAGGUGCUGCAUGGCUGUCGUCAGCUCGUGCUGUGAAGUGUUGGGUUAAGUCCCGCAACGAGCGCAACCCCUGUCCUUAGUUGCUAGUUUAUCCUUCGGGAUAAAAGCACUCUAGGGAGACUGCCCCGGUUAACGGGGAGGAAGGUGGGGAUGACGUCAAGUCCUCAUGGCCCUUAUGUCCAGGGCUACACACGUGCUACAAUGGCCGGUACAAAGGGUUGCCAAACCGCGAGGUGGAGCUAAUCUCAAAAAACCGGUCUCAGUUCGGAUUGGAGUCUGCAACUCGACUCCAUGAAGCUGGAAUCGCUAGUAAUCACAGAUCAGAACGCUGUGGUGAAUACGUUCCCGGGUCUUGCACACACCGCCCGUCAC